CCUACGGGUGGCAGCAGUGAGGAAUAUUGGUCAAUGGACGCAAGUCUGAACCAGCCAAGUAGCGUGCAGGAUGACGGCCCUCCGGGCUGUAAACUGCUUUUAGUUGGGAAUAAAAGGGGGCUCGUGAGUCCCGUAUGGUAUGUAUUACCAGAAAAGGGACUGGCUAAUUCCGUGCUAGCAGCCGCGGGAAUACGGAGGGUCCGGGCGUUAUCCGGAUUUAUGGGGUUUCAAGGGAGCGUAGGCGGGCUUUUAAGUCAGCUGUGAAAGUCCGCGGCUCAACCGUGGAAUGGCAGUGGAAACGGGGGGCCUUGGGUGAACACAGGGAUGCCGGAAUUCAUGGUGUGGCGGUGAAAUGGUUGGAUAUCAGGAAGAACUCCGAGCGCGAGGGCAAGGGUCCGGGGUGCAACUGACGCUGAGGCUCGAAAGUGCGGGUAUCAAACAGGAUUAGAUACCCCAGUAGUC
rnacentral:rRNA from 1 species